rnacentral:lncRNA from 1 species
CGCCGCUUGGCGUUAUGGGAGCGCAGAGAGGAUGUGUUCGUGACUACGUCGAAAUCCGGACCAAGAUUGUGCAGGGCCCAAAUAUCUAUCGAGACCAAAGAGGCAGCCGUCAUGGGAGUUCUCUUCAUACUAAGUGGAAUUAAUGAAGCCGCUGCCAAAGAAACUGAAGGACCUCCUCUUGAUGGAACACUUUCCUCUAUAGUCUGAAUCAAAUGAUAGCCUUCACGUCCUCGUAGAGCAUAUCGUCAGUGCUGAGAGGAGCCGUGCAGUUAAAGACUUUCAAAGGCUGAACCGGGCACGCUGCCAAGCAUCUAUUGUUCCUGUCCUGGGCCUCUUGGUUUAAGCUCUCCCACCAGCACUGGGAGGACAGGAUUCACAUGGGUACUUGUUAAAAGUUUUUGUCAGAAUUAAUUCUCUCGGAAAUGUCAGCGAAGAACAGGGAGUUUUCUUUCACACCUUGUGGCUUCCUACCCUAAUUUGCCUUUCUGCUAUGAUACACCAGCAGCUUCAUACUAUUGUAUGGCAAGGAAUAAAAAUAUUUUUUUCCCUGAGUCAUUUUCAAUUCUCUUUCUGUGCUCGUUCAUUUUGAUUCCAUAAAUUCCCAAAUUGGAAGCCCC